rnacentral:tRNA from 1 species
AAGACACUAGUAUAAAAGAAAAUAUAUCGCUUUGUCAAGGCGAAGUUGUGGGUUGAAUUCCCGCGUAUCUUA